rnacentral:hammerhead_ribozyme from 1 species
AUUCAACUGACUAGUCCCAAAUAGGACUAAACGCGCGUCUGGAU